CCACGGACGCCUCCAUACAAAACCUCGACGCCGCCGCACUCCUUCACGCGCUCAUAAGUUUAAGUGUGAGGCCGCCGCUUGUGUGGGAGCUACCACCUCCGGCCGUCCCACUCGCCGUGGCCGAUGAUCGCACCCCUGAGACCGCGGCCGUUCUGAAUCGGCGGCGAUGACGAGGCCCGGCCCUUGGCGCAGACCCGUGCCCUCCGAGCUGCGGCCGCGUCAAGACCUCCGCCUCGCGGGGCCAGCCAGCCCGCACCUCGCCGCCGGCAUUGGAGGCCUGGGUCAAGGCAGCCGUCGGUGGCGGCGGCGGUGCUGGGUGCUCCGGGGACCGUGUGGCGGAGGCGGGCGCGGCUUCCGUUCGUUUGGUUCCGGCGAGGCCAAGCCGUAGAUCCGAGCCGCCCCGCCAUGGAUUUUACCGCCUGCUUCCAUUUGGUACCCCCGGUGCCUCUCUCUGUCUCUGUCUCUCGCUUCCCUUGUGGCCUCUUUUGCUUUUGGCAAAAGGGAGUUGUGUGUGUCUGUGUGUGUACUUGUGCCAACCCUAGACCAGAUCGAGGAAUUGAUGCCAGUCAUUCUCCCGAUGGGACGCCGGUUCCAGAAUCCACCUCCAAGGGUGCCGCCUCCGGCUAGCAGUUGGGCGCUGGGAACCCUAGGUAGCGGGGACGGACCAGCGAUGCGAGGAAUCUGUGUGGUUCCAUUACCACCACCUUUGCAUUCCCUGUGGAUCCUGCACGGAGUGCCUGGUUAUUCCAUCAUCUAUGUAAACAGUAAACCCCACCUCCCUUGCAAAUUCUGCAGACUUGGCGGUAAUCGAUGGCUAUUUUGGCUGCGAAAUUUUGUUCGUAUGCCGGAAAUCACCGCUGUCACCAUCAGUGGUGGAGCUUGAACUGAAAGAAUGUCCCACUGUCACCGUCGUCGUCGUGAAGCUGCUUCCUCUCUCUCUCUCUCUCUCUCUCUCUCUCUGUCUCUCUCUCUCUGCUGUUGCUGCUGCUCUAUCCCUUUGAUUAAGGAACGGAAACUUAGGAGGGGCAAUGAUGAUCGACCAUGGCUGAUAGGCCUUCGAGCAUUCGAGGCACCUUUGGGUAUCACCUCCCUCCUCUCUUGAGCCUUUUUGAUCAUGUGCUAAUUUUGUGGUUCUGUCCUUGGACGGUCAUUCCUGAUGGGUGAUAACCAGGGCAGAUUCACUAAAGUAAGCACAGGUUGAUCUGUUGAUAAGAUGUUGGGGGUAGGGUUAUAUGAUCGAACAAAGGCGAAUCUGAGCCCACUCCAAUGCAAUUAUACAGGUCCCCGAGCAAGAUGUGCAAUGUUUGCCAUCUGUAUUUUGUAUUUCAUGGCCUCUUUGAUUCGCAGGAUUUGAAGGAAGUAUGCAGGAUUAUAAUGUCAUUCAUUCUUGAUAAGGGUGAUGAUGAUUGACCCUGACUGAAAUAAGCAUGCCUUUGAGUAGUCAAGGCACUGGUGGUUACCAAGUGAUCUCCCCUUGUCUCUCUAGAGCCUUUUUGAUUCCGUGAUACUGGUGGUUCUGUCCUUAGAUGGCCAUUCUUGUCGAAUGAUAACCAGGACAGCUCCACUCAGGUAAGAACGGGUUGAUCUGGUGAUAAGAGAUGAUAGGGCUGGAGUUAUACAAUUGAGCAAAGGCGAAUCUGAGUCCAUGGCACUGCAUUUAUACUGUUUGUAUAUUUACUUGUUGCAGCUGAUUUAUGUUCUUGUGUUUUCUCUGUGUUGACAAUGUAUAUGUUCCAUUGAUGCAUAAAUUGUGCCUUGUUCUUGUUCAUAUCCUGUUGUAUCUUGUGCACUAAGUACAUCAAAUGUCAGCAUCUUUUAAAUUGAUAUUUGAUGAGUUAGCUCUUAUAUAUUUAGUCAAUUUGUUAUCGCCUUUCAUUUGUGGUUUAAAUUGUGUGCGUGCAGCAUUUCCCCCUUUAGUUAAUUCGUCUCUGUUGAUAUGCUCCACUUUCCUCGAAUGCAAUGAAUCCUACGGGAAUCAAACCACUUCCUUAAUAAUUCCUAGUGGCACGCAUGCAUGACUUGCAAAAAGAAUGUAUAACCCUGAUGAGGUUUGAUGUUCUAAUAUGUAAUAAGGACGCCUGUGAACAAGGUGUGGAGCUUUUAACAUGAACUCAGCUCUCUAGAGGCCUGUUCAGGGCUUCUGCUUCUGCUGUAGCCUUAUGUGGUCAAUCUGAUAACAAUUGCAUCAUGGUUGUCAUACACAGGUUUGGAUGCUACCAAGAGAAGGAAUGCAUAUGAGCAUUAGAGGCAGAUGGUGAGAACACUAAAGGACACAGCUUGGACUGUCAUUUUGUGAACUAGCACAGCUAAAUUUGUGAUGAAUGUUUGAUCAGUGUAGGGCCAAUUAACGCACAGAUUGGCUUAUCUAUCUACCUAAGUCCUAACGAAUGUGAAGCUGAGCACGGAUGCAACUGUUACAGUACUACCAUACAAGCUAUGAAUAAUAUUGUCCCCUGUUCUGUAUUUGAUCUUCGAAGCUAUUUCUCUUUCUUUGUAUCUUGUGUUGUGUUGUCUGUACGGCUACAAGCUACACUGAGAAGUUAAAGCCUGUGGAUUAGUGUGUGUAAUUAUAUUGAUCAUUCCAGUAUUUCUUUACUGACAAGUAGAGGUGUUCCUCUUGUUGUCAGCGCUUAUUUUAUUGUUACUACUCCCUCUGAUCCUAAAUUGUGGUCUUUGUUUUGGUUCAAAAUUUGAGGGAGUACAAUAUUGUGAUUCUGGAGUAUAGUCUUGCAGUAUAUACAUCGAGUGUUGCUUAAAAAGACAACGCACUGCUCAGUAAACUUUGUAACUACUCGAAGAACUUUUUGCAUGAAAGUUUAAGGGAUAUAAGGAAUAUUUCUCUUCCGUUCUACCUUUGUGCCUUAUCAUGAAUCGGUUUGUCUUGCUGGAGCAAGACUGAUGUGUUUGUAAUAAUGUGUUUAUGUCAGUACUUUUUCACUUCUGUCAUUAUGUAAAUGUAUUUCAUCUAGAUUCUGUAAGUUUAUGUAUUCCUUUAGUAUCCCCGAGGAUCGGCAAGCAUUCAAUUCUUUAUAGUCCAGUACUCCAGUAGGAUGGCAUGCUUUCCUCAGUUAUCCGUUUAUUUUGCAUGCUGUGGUAGACCACGAUUUAUUAUGCAUUCUAUAUACCAAGUAGUGUUCUGUUUUCUGCAGCUUUGGCAUGGCAUCCAUUCCAUGAAGAAUACUUUGUUAGUGGGAGCUAUAUAUGAUGGAGGAAUCUUUCAUUGGUUGGUUGGUGUGUCAGGACCUACACCUCGAUGGGCGUGAAGUAUAUGAUUACUCAGAAUUCGGUUGACCAAGCCAUGAAACCCCACAGACAGAAAUAAACAAUGCACGUGAGAAUAGUGUGUGGGACCUUGCCUGGCAUCCAGUGGGCUAUCUACUUUCCAGGCAAUGCAAGGUCCAUCGAACCAGAUGAUGUCUCAAAUGCCACAACACUUGAUUGGCCUGAAUCAGGGGCACCCAGGGUCCGUUCCUCCCAGCAAUAUGCCUCAAAUUGGUGGCUUCCCAAACGGAAUGGGAAGCAUUCAAGGUGCGUCAGGUGCUUCUGGCAUGCAAAACUUUCCUAUGGGUGGCAUGUACAACCGGCCUCAGGGUCAGGGACAAAUGAAUCCACAGGGACAAAUGUCAUCCAUUCCUGGUCUAAGUUCUUACCAACCAGGGAUGGGCAAUGUUGUUCUUUCACUGCCGCCGCCACAGCAUACCCCGCCUCGUGGAGCAACACCGCAGUAAUAUCUCGUAACUGUACAAUGCUGAUGGGGAGGUCAAAGUUUUCUCCGCUGCCUCAGUGUAAAACCAGCAAUCGGUGUAAAACCAGCAAUAUUAUUCAAGCGAGUCUGUAGAAUUCUGCAAACUUCAAUGUAAACUUAUUCAAGCGAAGUCAAUAUAAGUUUCAACAAACUUCAAUGUAAAACCAGUAAUCUUAUUUCAGCAAGUCAUUCCGUCUAGGCCUUCUGGCGAGUCUCAUAUUUUUUCUAUCUUGGUUCUUAGCUAGCUAGGUACUCCCUCUGAUUCUAUUAUUGACCCAAAUUUAUCCAAAUAUGGAUGUAUAUAUUCUUAAAAA